GGCCUUAGCUCAGUGGCAGAGCUUCUGUUUUUCAUGCAGAAGAACCUCGGUUCAAUUUCUGACAUCUCCA
rnacentral:tRNA from 1 species